AUGGGGGAUGAGGAGAGGAUGGGAAAGGAUACACUUAAAAAAAACAACUAUUGAGUAUUCAUUAAAAUAUGUUCUUUCCUUGCUACUGCAAUUUGUCCCCAAAGACCUUAAAAUUCCUUCUUUCUUGUCUGAUAGGGCCCUAUUUGGCCAAUUCUAGUAAAGGUUCCUUCUGCCUAAUAAAAAUAAAAAACAAAACAUUACAACCAGUGAGCAAAGGACCUCUACUUUAAAACAAACAAAUGUGCAACAUAAAAACGGACUCUGAAGUUUUGCCAUUGGUGGGCAUGACUGUUAAGACACAUUUCUGAAAAGAGCCACUCUGUUUACAGCUGGGAAAGGUAGGUCCCCUAAGCAGUUUCUGUGGGAAUAAACUACUUUCCUCCUGGCUUAAAGCAAAUAUCUUACCACAAGGAUUAGUUCACUGCCGCCAUGGUUUUCAAAGCAUAUCAUUAGCAGUGGAAACAUAUUGUACAGUCAGAGGAAUUAGUGGUGAGUUUUAUUCUCUAUUACCCAGGUGCUCUUCAAUGCAGACACUUGAAAAUAGAGAACAAUAAGCAACCCACGAAUCCCCAGUUAUUAUGGCUUAGUACAGCUGGCCCCACCACACAGUCAAUGCUCAUUUGUCUGAAGGAUAAGGAGGCCAAGGAACUUUAGACCUAUCUUGCAGGGAACUUGAGAUCCAGGAGAGUAGUUCUCACACAGUGAGUUGGAUUCCACACUGCCUUGUGCUGUCAUUUGCACAUUUGCAAAGACGGCAUAAAAUGCUACCAGAUCAGAAUACACCUCUACCCCGAUACAACGCGACCUGAUAGAACACAAAUUCGGAUAUAACACGGUAAAGCAGCGCUCCGGGAGGGCGGGGCUGUGCACUUCAGCGGAUCAAAGCAAGUUCGAUAUAAUGCGGUAAGAUAUUUUGGCUUCCGAGGACAGCGUUAUAUUGGGGUAGAGAUGUAGUUGCAUUUUACCCAACAUCACAUUCACUGUGCAGUGAUGCCAGCAAGUACACGGGGACCAGGACGGUGGAGAACAGGGCCAGGAGGGGCAGCUAGAAUCAGAAAAGGCACUGUAUAAAUGAGGGACAGACUCCCCAGUAAAGGACAGCUGCUUGGCUCUACAUUGUCAGUGAAAUGUGGCUCUAAAGCUGGCUUAACUAGCCAAGGGAAGAUCCUCCCAGUGCAAGGUGGAUACUCUAGUGGCAUAGAGCCAAUGCAGGGGCUCUCACACCACCCUUCCUCCCUGCUGCCAGUGUAGCAGGAGAAAGAUGGCCUGCCCUGGAUGCCCCUGCACUUGAACUCUAUUGCUCUUUAGCUGCAUUUUUAUCCCCUCGGGCCAUUGCAGCCUGGUAUAAAUUAGGGCACCUUUCAUGCUACUCCAAGUGCAAAGGGAUCGGCCCCUGCACAAAGAACACAAAGGUGAGAUUUAAGCCACCUUUUCACAAACACAUGCUGCCAGCCCUACAUGCACCCCCUGUACUUUGACUUGGGCCAACAGUCUGGCCCUAGACUGAAUCCCAUGUUGAUUCUCUUUGUGAUUUCUAGAGCCAGCAUGCUCUGCCUAUGGAUCUUAAGAUCAUUUUUCUAACUGCUGGUGCCAUGAACUCCUCCUAGUAUUGCAGAAUCCAGGGAUGGCUUUCUGCCUUUCAUACUCUUUCCAGAAAUAACGAUUCUAAAAUUGAAACUUAGCUGGCAAUUCAGCUUUGAUGGGAACAUCCAGCCUUGUGUGAUGCUAUCCUGCAGUUUCCUGAGGCAUCGAAAGUCCUGAACUAACUUCAGGGCUAACGCAACUUCACCACAUCACGACAAAAUAUCUGCAAUACAUCCUCCUUGAAGUACUGACAACAACUUUUGCCUCAGAGGGCACAAAUUUCCAAGGCUGCUAGUUCUAAUCCCACUUUCAGUCUUUCGCAGGGUGGGCUGGCAAGGGUGUCAUAAACAGAUAGUUAAGGGUUAAUGUCUCUUUUACCUAUAAAGGGUUAAGAAGCUCAGUAAACCUGGCUGACACCUGACCAGAGACCAAUAGGGGAACAAGAUACUUUCAAAUCUUGGUGGGGGAAGUCUUUUGUUUGUGCUCUUUGUUUUGGGGGUUGUUCGCUCUGGGACUAAGAGGGACUAGACGUCAAUCCAGGCUCUCCAAAUCUUUCUGAAUCAGUCUCUCAUGUUUCAAACUUGCUCUUUCAAACAAACCUGCCUGAGAACCUUAACUGGUCUGGAAAGCAAAGGCCAUUUUCCUCUCAUUGCUGGGCUGCUGAUGGAUCACUCAGAGCAAGCUGCACUGAAGUAUCAACAAGGCAUCUAUUGAAAGGAAGAGAGCAGGAGAGAUACAAAGCUGCUGCAUGUCCAAACAGUGUUAACAUGGGAGGUGUAAUUCCAAACUGGACCACUGGGCAGCUACUCAUUGUGGCUCCCCCUUGGCAGACCAACACCACUCUGCUAUGUAGGAUGCAGGAAGAAAACACAAGCAGUGAGGCAGGGGCUGCUGAGAAGAUGACUGGGUAGCUCACUGUGACUGGAGAACAUUUCACCUUGAUUGGAUGAACUACUGGACAGCCAAAAAAACCCAACUGAAAAGGUGUUCAGGCAAGUCAAGGUUGAGAAGAGUACCGUAGAGACAACAGACCUGCUCAGGGAGGCUAAGGAGACAGUAAUUUCUCUUGGUACAAGCCACUGUUUCAGUUUUAUUGAAAGGAAAUUUGUUGCAGCUUCUCAGGCAAGUGUUUCUGUGCUAGACUAUUGCAGCCCUUCCUUCUGUCCACAGUGCAACAGCUGCUGUGUGCAGAUCAAAGAUAAAAUGGGUGAGGUAGGACUGUAUCAUUCAUGCCAUCCCUUUACCCUACAAAAUUGACUAUACUAGGAAAUUGUUCUUAAAUACCAAUUUUAAAAUGGUUUCCAGUAAUCUGGCAUUGCUCCCUGAAUAGAUGGGGCAUAAUUUGAUUCAAACAGCUUUUGGAAACCAUUCUCGAGACUAGCCAGUUUUAAAAAAGUGAUUUUCAGUCUUUUGUAGUGUAACUGGGAUCUUAAGUCUUAGGCCCAUCAACCAGCAGAGGCUAUAUUUACUCUCACAAAAACAUAGCUAUUGCCAUUGUGUUUCCUAAAAUGGAUGGAUAGAAUACAAACACAGAUCAACCAAAAAGAAAACCUUUUCAAAAUAAAAGUGUGCUAAAACCUAAAGUACACAGGAAUGAACAAUACUCCCUUGUGUCUUCUAUCCUUUCCACUUGUAUCUAGUACCAGAUACUUCAGAGCAAAGCAUAAACCUCUUUAUUAUUACUAUAGCAUUUAUACUGCAGUAAAUCUAGACAUCUCAACCAGUUUAGGAGUCCCGUUGCGCUAUGCCUGCACAGUGCUUAAACUGAGUCCCUGUCCCAGAGAGCUUUCUAUACCAAGUGUUUCUUAGUCAGAAUUGGAUUCCUUUUAGAAAAGGGGAAUUUGAAAAUUAGAAUCCUGUUUCCUUUCUGAGUGAGGCUGUUGAGAAAGCGUCCUGUCCUGUCGGCCCUCUCCCUAUCCCAAAGCACAUUUGGCUCCCUCUCUCUGGUUUUCUUGUAUAUGUUUCAGUCCCAAUGACUGACACCUCCAUAUUUCUAUAAUCAAACUUUCCCCACAGUUAACACUAUUUGGCUCUCGCUCUUGUUAUCCUCAGCACAGAAGCCAGUCUCCAUAGUCGACUGGAGUUCUGAAUUCCCGCUCCUGCCCCUAAAGGCAGGUCUCUCCAGGGCAGCAUUGAGGCAGACUGCUGUCGGGAAAGCAGACACGGUCAUUGACGGUGCUUUGCUUUCUUUUUCAUAAACAGAGCACACAAAUCUUCCAGGCUGUCAAACCAACACCAUUCACAAACACUAAACUAACUUUACAAAAACAUUAAUGAUAGUCACUCAGAGGCCCUUAGGACAUAAGGGGGCAAAGGAGAAAAAGUCAGAGGUCUACCAGAGAACUACACUAUUUGCUCAAUCACUUUAAUCUAACUACCUUGGUGUCAGGCUGUGGUCAUGUCUCAGGGACAGUAUCAAACUGAAUGUCUUCUCAUGCAAAAAAACCAACAGAACAUUGAGAUAU